rnacentral:tRNA from 1 species
AUAACUUUGUCAAAGUUAAAUUAUAGGUUAAACCCCUAUAUACCUCU